ACGGGAGGCAGCCUUCGUGCAUAUUGCACAAUGGGGGCAACCCUGAUGCAGCAACGCCACGUGUGGGAAGAAGCAUUUCGGUGUGUAAACCACUGUCGUGAGGGAAUAAUGCUUAAUUUCGGUUAAGUUGAAUGUACCUCGAAAGGAAGCACCGGCAAACUUCGUGCCAGCAGCCGCGGUAAUACGAGGGGUGCAAGCGUUGUUCGGAAUCACUGGGCGUAAAGGGAGCGCAGGCGGAGAUGCAAGCAGUAUGUACAAUACCGGGGCCCAACCCCGGACCUGCAGACUGGACUGUUUCUCUUGGAUAGUUCAGGGGCAAGCGGAAUUCCUGGUGUAGCGGUGGAAUGCGUAGAGAUCAGGAAGAACACCUAUGGCGAAGGCAGCUUGCUGGGUGCUUAUCGACGCUCAUGCUCGAAAGUGCGGGUAGCAAACAGGAUUAGAUACCCUGGUA
rnacentral:rRNA from 1 species